rnacentral:rRNA from 1 species
UACGGAGGGUGCAAGCGUUAAUCGGAAUUACUGGGCGUAAAGCGUGCGUAGGCGGUUCGUUAAGUCUGUUGUGAAAGCCCCGGGCUCAACCUGGGAAUGGCAAUGGAUACUGGCGAGCUAGAGUGUGUCAGAGGAUGGUGGAAUUCCCGGUGUAGCGGUGAAAUGCGUAGGGAUCGGGAGGAACAUCAGUGGCGAAGGCGGCCAUCUGGGACAACACUGACGCUGAGGCACGAAAGCGUGGGGAGCAAACAGG